AAUAGAUACCCCGGUAGUCCACCCCGUAAACGUUGGGACUAGUUGUGGGGUCCUUUCCACGGAUUCCGUGACGCAGCUAACGCAUUAAGUUCCCCGCCUGGGGAGUACGGCCGCAAGGCUAAAACUCAAAGGAAUUGACGGGGACCCGCACAAGCGGCGGAGCAUGCGGAUUAAUUCGAUGCAACGCGAAGAACCUUACCAAGGCUUGACAUACACCGGAAACGGCCAGAGAUGGUCGCCCCGCAAGGUCGGUGUACAGGUGGUGCAUGGUUGUCGUCAGCUCGUGUCGUGAGAUGUUGGGUUAAGUCCCGCAACGAGCGCAACCCUCGUUCUAUGUUGCCAGCACGUCAUGGUGGGAACUCAUGGGAUACUGCCGGGGUCAACUCGGAGGAAGGUGGGGAUGACGUCAAAUCAUCAUGCCCCUUUAUGUCUUGGGUCUUCACGCAUGCUACAAUGGCCGGUACAAAGGGCUGCAAUACCGUGAGGUGGAGCGAAUCCCAAAAGCCGGUCCCAGUUCGGAUUGAGGUCUGCAACUCGACCUCA
rnacentral:rRNA from 1 species